GAAAUUCAAGAUAGCACAUAUAGUAACAUUGGAACGAUAUAGAGAAGAUUAGCAUGGCCCCUGUGCAAGGAUGACGUAAACUUGUAAAGCGUUCAACCUCUUU